ACCCUCUCAGGAUCAGACCUGAAGUGUUUCCUGUACUCUAUUAGUCUUGACUAGGGGAGGGAGAGUCAAGCAGAGGCCUACCCAUUCCAUUCCUAGCUUGGCCAGUGGCUAACGAGUGGAAGGCAAUCUGCUACAAGU